rnacentral:pre_miRNA from 1 species
GGAAGUUAAAAAAUUGUUUCUUAACUUUUAACUAAAAAAACUAAGAACUGGUUCUUAAAUAAGGACUUUAAGAACCGGUUCUUAACUUUUUUAAUUAAAAGUUAAGAAACAGUUUCUUAACUUCC